AUGAACGCUGGCGGCGUGCCUAAUACCUGCAAGUCGAGCGAACAGACGAGGAGCUUGCUCCUCUGACGUUAGCGGCGGACGGGUGAGUAACACGUGGAUAACCUACCUAUAAGACUGGGAUAACUUCGGGAAACCGGAGCUAAUACCGGAUAACAUGUUGAACCGCAUGGUUCAACAGUGAAAGACGGUUUUGCUGUCACUUAUAGAUGGAUCCGCGUCGCAUUAGCUAGUUGGUAAGGUAACGGCUUACCAAGGCAACGAUGCGUAGCCGACCUGAGAGGGUGAUCGGCCACACUGGAACUGAGACACGGUCCAGACUCCUACGGGAGGCAGCAGUAGGGAAUCUUCCGCGAUGGGCGAAAGCCUGACGGAGCAACGCCGCGUGAGUGCAGAAGGUCUUCGGAUCGUAAAACUCUGUUAUUAGGGAAGAACAAAUGUGUAAGUAACUAUGCACGUCUUGACGGUACCUAAUCAGAAAGCCACGGCUAACUACGUG
rnacentral:rRNA from 1 species